AACGUCGCAAGACCAAAGAGGGGGACCUUCGGGCCUCUUGCCAUCGGAUGUGCCCAGAUGGGAUUAGCUUGUUGGUGGGGUAACGGCUCACCAAGGCGACGAUCCCUAGCUGGUCUGAGAGGAUGACCAGCCACACUGGAACUGAGACACGGUCCAGACUCCUACGGGAGGCAGCAGUGGGGAAUAUUGCACAAUGGGCGCAAGCCUGAUGCAGCCAUGCCGCGUGUAUGAAGAAGGCCUUCGGGUUGUAAAGUACUUUCAGCGGGGAGGAAGGGAGUAAAGUUAAUACCUUUGCUCAUUGACGUUACCCGCAGAAGAAGCACCGGCUAACUCCGUGCCAGCAGCCGCGGUAAUACGGAGGGU
rnacentral:rRNA from 1 species